rnacentral:rRNA from 1 species
GAUGAACGCUGGCGGCGUGCCUAAUACAUGCAAGUCGAGCGAGCGGCGGACGGGUGAGUAAUGUCUGGGAAACUGCCUGAUGGAGGGGGAUAACUACUGGAAACGGUAGCUAAAACCGCAUACCAUCAGAUCUGCCCAGAUGGGAUUAGCUAGUAGGUGGGGUAACGGCUCACCUAGGCGACGAUCCCUAGCUGGUCUGAGAGGCUGACCAGCCACACUGGAACUGAGACACGGCCCAGACUCCUACGGGAGGCAGCAGUGGGGAAUCUUGCGCAAUGGGCGCAAGCCUGAUGCAGCCAUGCCGCGUGUAUGAAGAAGGCCUUCGGGUUGUAAAGUACUUUAAGCGGGGAGGCGGUACCCGCAGAAGAAGCACCGGCUAACUCCGUGCCAGCAGCCGCGGUAAUAC